AUGGCGGAGGAGGAGGGCACGCAGCAGCUGCCGUUCGUGCGGGAGACGGUCCUCAAGAAGAGGAAGGACAACGAGGAGUGGGCCACCAAGAACCGGGAGCGCAAGGCGGCCAAGAGGCAGCGCCGCCGCCACGACGCCAAGGGCGCCAUCAAGCGUCCCGAGGACUUCGUCAGGGAGUUCCGCAACAAGGAGCUCGACUUCCUGCGGAUGCGGACGCGCCUCAAGGUCCGGAACCUGCGCCCCGCCGAGGCCAUCGACGCCAAGCUGCUCUUCGCCAUCCGCAUCCCAGGCACCGCUGACUUGCACCCGCAAAUCAGGAAGAUCUUGGCCAGGCUGCGGCUCACCCAGGUCCUCACCGGCGUCUUCCUCAAGGCCACCGAGACAAACCUCAAGAGGCUUGCUGCUGUCGGACCGUUUGUCACCUAUGGGUUCCCCAAUUUGAAGAAUGUGAAGGAGCUAAUUUACAAGAAGGGUCGCGGAUAUUUCGACAAGGAGCCUUUCCCCCUUACCAGCAAUGAUCUAAUCGAGAAGGCACUUGGAGAACACGGCGUCAUAUGUUUGGAAGACGUGGUGCAUGAAAUCUCCACUGUCGGGCCGCACUUCAGAGAAACGGCGAGCUUUCUCAUGCCCUUCAAGCUCAAGUGUCCAGAGAGGAGGCUGCAGAUGAAGAAGAAACCCUUCAAGGAUGGUGGCGACUCGGGCAACCGUGGGGACAAGAUCAACGAGCUACUCGAGAAGCUGAACUGA
rnacentral:rRNA from 1 species